rnacentral:lncRNA from 1 species
CUCCAUUUCCACCUAAAGAGUUCCCACCAACGCCGGUGUAUGAAAAGCCACUUCCACCACCUGUUCCAGUUUAUGAAAAACCUGUUCCACCACCUACACCGGUAUAUGAAAAGCCACUUCCACCACCUGUUCCUGUUUAUGAAAAACCUCUUCCCCCACCUACACCGGUCUAUGAAAAACCACUUCCACCGCCUACUCCAGUUUAUGAAAAACCUCAUCCUCCGCCUACACCUGUCUAUGAAAAGCCACUUCCACCGCCUGUUCCUGUUUAUGAAAAACCUCUUCCCCCACCUACACCGGUCUAUGAAAAACCACUUCCACCGCCUACUCCAGUUUAUGAAAAACCUCAUCCUCCGCCUACACCUGUCUAUGAAAAGCCACUUCCACCGCCUGUUCCUGUGUAUGUAAAGCCUAUUCCUCCACCUACUCCGAUCUAUGAAAAGCCACUUCCACCUCCUGUUCCGGUUUAUAAAAAACCUGUUCCUCCACCUACACCAGUCUAUGAAAAGCCACAUCCACCGCCUGUUUAUGAAAAGCCACUUCCACCUCCUGUGUAUGUAAAACCUAAGCCUCCACCAGUGCCAAUCUACAAAAAGCCACUUCCACCACCGGUUCCUGUUUACAAAAAACCUUGUCCUCCCCCUGUUCCUAUUUACAAGAAACCUAAUCCUCCACCAGUAUAUGAGAAGCCACUUCCACCACCAGUUCCUGUUUAUAAGAAACCUAAUCCUCCACCAGUGCCAGUCUACAAGAAGCCUCUUCCACCUCCUGUUCCCAUAUAUAAGAAACCCCUCCCUCCACCUGUUCCCAUUUACAAGCAUCCAUUUUUCAAGCACAAACACCCAUUCUUCAAGCAUAAACACCCAUUCUUCAAGCAUUUGCCUCACAUUCCAAAAAUUCCCCAUCAUCCAUUUUUUAAGAAGCCAUGGCCACCUAUCCCUCAAUUCCCUCCUGUUCCCAAGUCCCCACCAAAGUACUUCUCCCACCACAUGUUUGGAGGGUUCCCUAAACAUCCACCGGUUGUUUCUCAUCCUUAGAAUGUCAUUGUCUUGCAGCAUUGUUGCUUUUUUCUUAAUAAGCA